ensembl:lncRNA
UGUCUGUCAACAAAGUUUGAAAUAGCUUUAUUCAGAAGAAAGAAAUUCAUACAGGUUUGAAACAACAUGAGGACCACAGAUCUAACUACUUAUAGAAGGUCUGCUGUUCUUCGUGGUCUUCCCCUGUACUUGAGAGAGCCAGCUUCAAUUUCAAAGACUAUUAAGGAUACUGAGGCACUGGGGCCACACACAAAGGCCAUGAAAAUGGGGAUCCUGGAAGGGACUGACAGUUCUACCAACUCAGGACCAUAUCCCACAGUGGUCAAUGUGGCUGUAGUACUGGAGGAGGAAGUUUUACUGAAUUUCAUUUUGUAAAGCAGAUAUUUGUUUUUCCACUGGUUGAAUACUUGUGUAAUAUUUUACUUGCGCCUAACAGGCAAGUUCAUAUGUACUUAAAUAAAUACAUAAAAUGUUCUUUAUCAAAGCAUAGUGUGUAAUUUAUUUGAAAUAAUGAAAAAUAGACUAUUUUGGUCAACAUUAAUGAAAAAUAGACUUAUUGGCCAACAUUAAAUAUUUAAUACAACAUUUUAUUUCAAUUUGAGUCUGCUUGUUGGCCCAACAAGCUAUGUUUAGUCAACAGAAAUAUUUAAUUGACACAACAUUCUAUUUCAAGUUCAGUCUACAUGCAGGGGUAGUCAGCACAACACAAAAAAGUUGGUUUCCGCAACUUAAAUCGGGCAAACUAAAAAUUU